rnacentral:rRNA from 1 species
GGGUUGUGAGGUUAAGCGACUAAGCGUACACGGUGGAUGCCCUGGCAGUCAGAGGCGAUGAAGGGCGUGCUAAUCUGCGAUAAGCGCCGGUAAGGUGAUAUGAACCGUUAUAACCGGCGAUACCCGAAUGGGGAAACCCAGUGUGACUCGUCACACUAUCAUUAACUGAAUCCAUAGGUUAAUGAGGCGAACCGGGGGAACUGAAACAUCUAAGUACCCCGAGGAAAAGAAAUCAACCGAGAUUCCCCCAGUAGCGGCGAGCGAACGGGGAGGAGCCCAGAGCCUGAAUCAGCAUGUGUGUUAGUGGAAGCGUCUGGAAAGGCGCGCGAUACAGGGUGACAGCCCCGUACACAAAAGCGCAUGUGCUGUGAGCUCGAUGAGUAGGGCGGGACACGUGGUAUCCUGUCUGAAUAUGGGGGGACCAUCCUCCAAGGCUAAAUACUCCUGACUGACCGAUAGUGAACCAGUACCGUGAGGGAAAGGCGAAAAGAACCCCGGCGAGGGGAGUGAAAAAGAACCUGAAACCGUGUACGUACAAGCAGUGGGAGCACCCUUUGGGUGUGACUGCGUACCUUUUGUAUAAUGGGUCAGCGACUUAUAUUCUGUAGCAAGGUUAACCGAAUAGGGGAGCCGGAGGGAAACCGAGUCUUAACCGGGCGUUAAGUUGCAGGGUAUAGACCCGAAACCCGGUGAUCUAGCCAUGGGCAGGUUGAAGGUUGGGUAACACUAACUGGAGGACCGAACCGACUAAUGUUGAAAAAUUAGCGGAUGACCUGUGGCUGGGGGUGAAAGGCCAAUCAAACCGGGAGAUAGCUGGUUCUCCCCGAAAGCUAUUUAGGUAGCGCCUCGUGAAUUCAUCUCCGGGGGUAGAGCACUGUUUCGGCUAGGGGGCCAUCCCGGCUUACCAACCCGAUGCAAACUGCGAAUACCGGAGAAUGUUAUCACGGGAGACACACGGCGGGUGCUAACGUCCGUCGUGAAGAGGGAAACAACCCAGACCGCCAGCUAAGGUCCCAAAGUCAUGGUUAAGUGGGAAACGAUGUGGGAAGGCCCAGACAGCCAGGAUGUUGGCUUAGAAGCAGCCAUCAUUUAAAGAAAGCGUAAUAGCUCACUGGUCGAGUCGGCCUGCGCGGAAGAUGUAACGGGGCUAAACCAUGCACCGAAGCUGCGGCAGCGACACUGUGUGUUGUUGGGUAGGGGAGCGUUCUGUAAGCCUGCGAUGCUGGAGGUAUCAGAAGUGCGAAUGCUGACAUAAGUAACGAUAAAGCGGGUGAAAAGCCCGCUCGCCGGAAGACCAAGGGUUCCUGUCCAACGUUAAUCGGGGCAGGGUGAGUCGACCCCUAAGGCGAGGCCGAAAGGCGUAGUCGAUGGGAAACGGGUUAAUAUUCCCGUACUUGGUGUUACUGCGAAGGGGGGACGGAGAAGGCUAUGUUGGCCGGGCGACGGUUGUCCCGGUUUAAGUGUGUAGGUGUGUGUUCCAGGUAAAUCCGGUUCACUUUAACACUGAGGCGUGACGACGAGGCACUACGGUGCUGAAGCAACAAAUGCCCUGCUUCCAGGAAAAGCCUCUAAGCAUCAGGUAACAUCAAAUCGUACCCCAAACCGACACAGGUGGUCAGGUAGAGAAUACCAAGGCGCUUGAGAGAACUCGGGUGAAGGAACUAGGCAAAAUGGUGCCGUAACUUCGGGAGAAGGCACGCUGACACGUAGGUGAAGUGAUUUACUCAUGGAGCUGAAGUCAGUCGAAGAUACCAGCUGGCUGCAACUGUUUAUUAAAAACACAGCACUGUGCAAACACGAAAGUGGACGUAUACGGUGUGACGCCUGCCCGGUGCCGGAAGGUUAAUUGAUGGGGUCAGCGCAAGCGAAGCUCCUGAUCGAAGCCCCGGUAAACGGCGGCCGUAACUAUAACGGUCCUAAGGUAGCGAAAUUCCUUGUCGGGUAAGUUCCGACCUGCACGAAUGGCGUAAUGAUGGCCAGGCUGUCUCCACCCGAGACUCAGUGAAAUUGAACUCGCUGUGAAGAUGCAGUGUACCCGCGGCAAGACGGAAAGACCCCGUGAACCUUUACUAUAGCUUGACACUGAACAUUGAGCCUUGAUGUGUAGGAUAGGUGGGAGGCUUUGAAGUGUGGACGCCAGUCUGCAUGGAGCCGACCUUGAAAUACCACCCUUUAAUGUUUGAUGUUCUAACGUGGACCCGUUACCCGGGUUGCGGACAGUGUCUGGUGGGUAGUUUGACUGGGGCGGUCUCCUCCUAAAGAGUAACGGAGGAGCACGAAGGUUGGCUAAUCCUGGUCGGACAUCAGGAGGUUAGUGCAAUGGCAUAAGCCAGCUUGACUGCGAGCGUGACGGCGCGAGCAGGUGCGAAAGCAGGUCAUAGUGAUCCGGUGGUUCUGAAUGGAAGGGCCAUCGCUCAACGGAUAAAAGGUACUCCGGGGAUAACAGGCUGAUACCGCCCAAGAGUUCAUAUCGACGGCGGUGUUUGGCACCUCGAUGUCGGCUCAUCACAUCCUGGGGCUGAAGUAGGUCCCAAGGGUAUGGCUGUUCGCCAUUUAAAGUGGUACGCGAGCUGGGUUUAGAACGUCGUGAGACAGUUCGGUCCCUAUCUGCCGUGGGCGCUGGAGAACUGAGGGGGGCUGCUCCUAGUACGAGAGGACCGGAGUGGACGCAUCACUGGUGUUCGGGUUGUCAUGCCAAUGGCACUGCCCGGUAGCUAAAUGCGGAAGAGAUAAGUGCUGAAAGCAUCUAAGCACGAAACUUGCCCCGAGAUGAGUUCUCCCUGAGACUUAGAGUCUCCUGAAGGAACGUUGAAGACGACGACGUUGAUAGGCCGGGUGUGUAAGCGCAGCGAUGCGUUGAGCUAACCGGUACUAAUGAACCGUGAGGCUUAACCUUACAACGCCGAAG